UGAUGUUGUCAGCUGCCCUGACAGUCCGCUGUAGACUUUUCCGGUCAGCAGCGCUGGCACUACUGAUCAGAUGGAGAUGCAGCUCGUCAGGACGCACUCUAUGGUGCCCCUGUAGAACACUGUGAGGAUGGAAGGCACAAGGCUGGCCUGUUUCAGUCGUCUCGGGAAGUGAAGACGCUGCUGAGCCUUUUUGGUGAUGGAGACAGUGUUGGUGGUCCAGGACAGUGGUAUCCUCUAGAGGACAAACCUGUGGUGCCACAGUUGAGUCAAGGACAGCCCAAUGUUGGUAUCUUGGUUCAGGAAAUAAAGGAAUUACUUCAGGAUCAUAUAAAACAGCAGCAGCUGGCAAGGGGAGAGUUACAAGAGGAGAAUGAAGAGCUCUGAAAAUAUGACAAAGUGUGCUUUACCACCUGCUGCCAUUCCAUGCUACUUAGUGGGCCCUUCUGCUUCCAGUGUCUAGGGAUUAUUGACCUAGCCGCAUCCAGCAAGUGUAAGGUAUAAACCCAGCCUGGUCAUCAUGUAUUAAAUCCAAUUACUGCCAAGAGCUAUCAACUGACCUCUGAGCACACAUUUUUUGGUUUCCCACAGUGUCGCCACACUAACCUCUGGUCCUGAAUUCUCUUUUAAUAUUUGUUGUAACAUAUCCCUUAUUUUAUUCUUGGUGUCUUUUUUAUGUAACAUUAAAUCGUUAAACCUC